GGCAUGUCACCCUAUUUUUAUAUCCGUCACUGAGCAUAUUUAAGAGCUGAUGUUUCUUGCUUCAUCACUGAUCAGCACCUGCACUCAGGAAGACAAGCUCCAGUCUGAUACCAAGAAGGAAGAGGAGAAAAUUAUUCUACAUCAGGUUAUCGUCCUUCACAGCUGCAACAUGAAGAUUCUCAUGUCUUUGUUAGUUUUUGCCCUGAUGGGUCUGAGCAGAGCUGCAGCUUUUCCACCAGCAGCAAAUCAUCAUCGACCAGGGGGUCCUUUUAGACCAAGUGAGUGUUCACUAAAUAUCUACAGGUCUCAUAACUUCUUCCAUCACUGCUAACUAGUGUGCUAAACUUUCCAUCCAGGUCUUCCACCAGCAGAAGAUCAAGGCCAGCCAGAGGGAUCUUUUAGACCAA
rnacentral:lncRNA from 1 species